GAACCCUCAUAAUCUCUCAAAAGUUAAAACGUGUCGAAAGAAAUCGGAAAUUGAAUUGAGAGACGAAAGCAACACAACUUGAACACAUUUGAUCUUACUAGAUACAUACGGGUUCAUGUCACCAUCCUAAAGGCCUACCGACAUCAUCAGUGACGCCACAAGCGAUAACAUCAAUUACGCUUCAAGUGACAACAUCAAUGACUCCCCAAGUGGCUCGAAUGGUGGUUGACCUUGACGUAUUAAUGCUCUUACUGGCUACGACAGUGCUUCUAGCUGCCGUUGGGAUAUUCGCCUUAGGCUGGUAUUGCAGACGACAGCAAACACAGAAAACAAAGGAGGGGAUCUUGCUCUUCGUUAUGUGCUGGUAUUGCAGACGACGACAGACAAUGACAGAAAACCAAUGGAUCUUGAAUGAUGACGUAGAAAGGCAAACUCAUGACCCCGGGGGACCAUAUUGAAAUUCACAGGCCCACGUCUCUUUCAGCAUCGUAUGUAAAGCUAAGUCAGAUCUUCCCAGCAAAAGAAUUCAAGAUGUACUUCCGGCAGUUGAAAAUAGAUGAAUGCACCAUUCAACGAAUUGAAACUGAACACCCAGGCAACGUUCGGGAGCAGUGUUACAAGCUGUUUAUUGAAUGGGAACACAGGCGCACAAACAAAACCAAGAUGUCGCACCUUGAAUGGUCAUUUGAGUUAAUUCGAAAACUUAAACACCACCUUGACGAGCGGUUAACAGAAAUGCCUGAGUGUUUGAAACAGCAAUCUUAUUCCAUUUUAGACGCUCACUCACAAGAAAUAACGAAGAAGAUACCGAAACUUGGUAGUUUAUAGCCUACCGAUAUCACCAGUGACGCCACAAGUGACAACACUAGUGACCCCACACGUUGCAACAUCACUGACUCCCCAAGUUGCUCCAGUGGUAGCCAUGACGUAUUAAUGCUCUUACUGGCUGUGACAGUACCUGUAGCUGUCGUUAGGGUAUUCGCUUUAGGCUGGUAUUGCAGACGACAUCAAACAAAGAAAGCAAACCAAGGGAUCUUGCUCUUCGUUAUGUGCUGAUGAAUGCACCAUUCAACUCAGGAGCAGUGUUACCAGCUGUUUAUUGAAUGGGCGCAAAGGCUCACAAACAAAACAAAGAUGACCGCCUUAAAUGGUCAUUGGAUUUAAUUCGAAAACAUACACACCACCUUGACGAGCGGUUAACAGAAAUGCCUGAGUGUUUAAAACAGCAAUGUUAUUCCAUUUUAGACGCUCAUUCACUAGAAAAAAAACUAAAAAAAAUACCCAGAAAAAAACAACACGAGAGUGAGUCAAACGUAAUAUUCUCUGUGUUUAAGUUUCCAUAUAUUGUUGAACUGAUCCAAUGCAUGUAUUUAACAUUCUAGUUCCAUUUAAAAGUUUUCCAAUGCAACAAGACUGAAUUAUUCGGCCUUUUUCGGCGUAGCUGUCUAAGCCAGCUUUUCACCUUACCUGACCUUUAUAAGUGUCCAAUAAAAUUCAAAUAAAAUUUCCCGCGACAUGAUACGAAUAAAUACACUUCAUUUAUUCCAUUGGCUGAUUUGAGCAUAAUCCCCCAGACUAUUGGAAAGAUGCCCGCGUCUUUGUAAUAUAGCGUGUAACAAUGUUUUACUGCGUGUUCAGCAUGAAACAAUUUUAUCUCUAAUGAAAAGGCUUGAUGGAUAGAACAGCUUUACACUCACCUCUUGACAUCAAUACAGUUUUGUGUGCCCCUUUAUAUUCAGAGGAUUGUCAGCACCAGAGCGUUUGUACUUAAAGGCUAUGCUCUCAUCUUGAGUAAUUACUACCAUAUUGCUGCCUAUGUACUAGUAUAUUUUAGUUAAUUAAAGUAUCGUUUUUCCCUAUCCCGAUAUUCGUUUUGGCCUAACCAUUUUUAAUUAUUUUUGAAAAUGAACAUUAUACAUGUAAAAGUAUAAAGUUUUAAACAAGCCGUCGUUCCAGAAGUGGAAUCGUGACCUCACUUUAAUGCAUUGCAUUCCAACCCGCAAGGUAUCAGGGUCAGUUCGCGGCCAGUAAACGGAUCGUUAUAUAAUAUAGGCGCUGUCGCGUUGACUAGGUGAACAGGUAUUGUAUUUAGACCAGAAAUAUCUUAAAAUAAUGAAGAUAUUCGGCGAUGUAACUAUGGUAGGUCAAUCAUAGUCUUAAUGUGUUUUCAAAAAUACCAUGAUAAAUAUUAUUUUUGAUUAAUUAAACAAUCAUUAUUACACCAUUUUGACCAAUUUGUUAAGCGUGAGCUCGAUGAUUCCCGAUACUGUUAAUAAUCGAAUCAAAUAGCAAUGCCCGACACACCACUAAAACAGGUUUGUUCGAAGAACGCGCGUAUAAAUAUUUAAAAAAUGUACGGAUACUUCGCGUGUGGCCGGUUGACUUAUAUGUUUUAAAUUUUAAUUUCUCUUCCAUUCUUCUUUUGUUUUUCUGGUUUGUAUCUAUAGAUAUAUGAUAAGCAAUAUGUAAUAAUGUUAAAUUAGCCGCAAAAACUAUGCGUAACAUCCCGUUAUCCGUGGUAUGCAGCUAAGAACUGCAUAUAAAAAGGCAUUCGCUAUCUUUGAUCGCAUUCAUUAAACUCUUUACCUUUCACCAAAU